AACAAGGCGUACCUGCGGACCUGCGGAAGGAUCAUUACCGAGUGUGAACCCCCCCGUAAAAAAGAGGGGUUACCUCCCGUCCUUUGCUGGGAACCCCUUUCCAACUUGGAAGGAGGUUGUUUUCAGACCCUUCUGCUUCGGUGGGGUAACCCACCGGAGCAACCUCAAAAAUAUUCUCAAUUCAAAACCGUUCAGUCCGAGAACUUUUUUGAAAAGCGAAAAAACUUUUAACAAUGGAUC
rnacentral:misc_RNA from 1 species